AAGCCAAUUUUCCUUCUGUGUGUUUUGUCUCAGAUGGUCUGUGUCUCUCCACACCAUUCCAGGGGCUGCUCUUUGCAGAGCAGAAAAUUGGAAUUCUCGGUGAACAUCUGCAUUUUCCAGCUGGGGAAGCAAGGAAUGUCCAACAGAACAGAGCUGAGCUGGUGUGAGAAGCAGUGAAAAAUUCCAUCAGUGAGUGCCUUUGUACCAGGCUGAGCAGCUGCUGGAACAGAAUCCCUGAGAGCUCUGCAGUGGCUGGACACAGCUCCCCACCAGCUUUAAGGCAACAUCAGAUUUCAAUCAGCAGGACGUCGAAGGAAAGGGUAGGAGAAAAAAAGAAGAAGAAGAAAAUUCAGUCUCUGGAGAGCAGAGUGAGGUGCUGAACGUGUCACGGGACUGGAGCAAAGGUUAGAACUGCAGUGUAAAAUAUUGUACAAAUCUCAGCCCCAGUUUCAGUCCCACAUCAGAGGAAGAGGAGGCUGCUGUCACUGAAAUGGUGGCAGUGCCACAGAGUGGAGUGGGGACCUCUCCUAUUCCUGGCUGGAGCCACCAGGGAGACCUGGCAGGAGCUGUGGGAGCCAUGCUCUGUGGGCUCUCUGCUGAAUUGGCACACCCUUCCUAAUGCAACACUUCAUUCCUUGUAGAAAAGACACAGAAUAAAAGAUCUAUCAAAACGCAUUUCUCUUAACUUUAAAGGUAUUUCAUAUUGGCACUUUCUGGUUUGUCUUGAUGUAUCAGACCAUCCAUCAGAUCUUGCAAUGUCUCCCUUUCCAGCUGUCCUGCCUUUGAAGCUGAUUGUCUGAAGAGAUGGAAUUUAAAACUUCUCUUGACCUCUUCGUGAAGGCAACAAAGACCAGUGAUGGGUUUGUCUGCAGUGAAACCUGCUGAUGAAUUCUUUCUGGCAUCUCCACAGAAGCAGAGCCUGCCCUAUACAUUGCAGUUUGAGCCAGUUCUGCAGCACACAAAGAUGGGAAGAAAGGUGAGGACAGGAGAGCUUUGCUCAGGAAGUUCUGUCCAAGAUGUGGCACCCAGUCUUGGAGGCGUCCAAGAUGCAUCACCCAACCUUCAUUCAAGCAAACCCCCAGAGCUGCAGAGGGAGGAGGAAUUGGCAGCUGGAAAAGCUGCCUGGAGGUCAGCAGCAAGGACUGGUAAUUUUUUGCCCUCUCAUCCACUGCUGGGACCUGUGCAGGAGGUUUUGCAUGAGGAAAGUUCCCUCCCCUGGAGGAGAUGGAAG